rnacentral:rRNA from 1 species
ACGUAGGGUGCGAGCGUUAAUCGGAAUUACUGGGCGUAAAGCGUACGCAGGCGGCUGGGUAAGACGGGUGUGAAAUCCCCGGGCUUAACCUGGGAACUGCGUUUGUGACUGCCUGGCUGGAGUUUGUCAGAGGGGGGUGGAAUUCCACGUGUAGCAGUGAAAUGCGUAGAGAUGUGGAGGAACACCGAUGGCGAAGGCAGCCCCCUGGGCCGAUACUGACGCUCAGGUACGAAAGCGUGGGGAGCAAACAG